UACGUAGGGUGCGAGCGUUAAUCGGAAUUACUGGGCGUAAAGCGUGCGCAGGCGGUUCGUUAAGUUCGUUGUGAAAGCCCCGGGCUCAACCUGGGAACGGCAAUGGAAACUGGCGGGCUGGAGUGUGGCAGAGGGGGGUGGAAUUCCACGUGUAGCAGUGAAAUGCGUAGAGAUGUGGAGGAACACCGAUGGCGAAGGCAGCCCCCUGGGCCAACACUGACGCUCAGGCACGAAAGCGUGGGGAGCAAACAGG
rnacentral:rRNA from 2 species